GAUGAACGCUGGCGGCGUGCCUAAUACAUGCAAGUCGAGCGAACAGACGAGGAGCUUGCUCCUCUGACGUUAGCGGCGGACGGGUGAGUAACACGUGGAUAACCUACCUAUAAGACUGGGAUAACUUCGGGAAACCGGAGCUAAUACCGGAUAAUAUAUUGAGCCGCAUGGUUCAAUAGUGAAAGACGGUUUUGCUGUCACUUAUAGAUGGAUCCGCGCCGCAUUAGCUAGUUGGUAAGGUAACGGCUUACCAAGGCAACGAUGCGUAGCCGACCUGAGAGGGUGAUCGGCCACACUGGAACUGAGACACGGUCCAGACUCCUACGGGAGGCAGCAGUAGGGAAUCUUCCGCAAUGGGCGAAAGCUUGACGGAGCAACGCCGCGUGAGUGAUGAAGGUCUUCGGAUCGUAAAACUCUGUUAUUAGGGAAGAACAAAUGUGUAAGUAACUAUGCACGUCUUGACGGUACCUAAUCAGGAAGCCACGGCUAACUACGUG
rnacentral:rRNA from 1 species